CCCUGGAAGGGGUGUAAAGCUCGGACUCCAGUUCCCAAAAUUCUUGUUAUAUUGUGAUCUGAUUAAUCUUGCGGGAAUGGGUGGUCUUUUAAUUGCUGAACCUCCAUCUCAUUCUUGUGUCCUUACUUUUGGAACAGCUGAAAAGCACAUUUCUUGUAUUUAGCUCUGGGGAGGUUUGCAGAGAUACAGUCGAUUAAGAGAAGACAUAGCAGAAGCCUAGCAGUCUGAAGCAGAUAAAAAAUAAGGAUGGACAAUAUGCUGCAAAGACAUUUGCAUAAACAGUGAGCAGUAGUGAACAGCAAAAACCAGUCCGAAGAUUCAGUGAAAAACUGCUUAUUUCCAAGGCUCAGGGAAUGUCAAGCAACAACAAAAAAAGUACAUUCUAUCCAGCAACCUUGAAUAUGUUCAGUGAAGCCUCAAGUGUAAUCCUAAAAGCCCAUGUAGAGCCCCCACAUGAAGACUGCUUGUCAGCUGUGAUAUGGCAUCUGGAAGACCUGGAGGGUGGAUGUGUCAGGAAGUACACUGGGUCUUCCUGGCAUCCCAUAAUUCUGUGUAUCAUCUUUAUGAUUCCCAUGCUCCAGAAGACACUGUAGUCUUUCAGCAAUGAUGACAGUUAUUGUUGGGAAAACCUUUGCAGCUGGCAAUUAAUGGAAACAAAUUUUAUGAAAUGGACUAUUAAACCUCAAAAUAAUGAUAAAGAUAAAAGUAUGAACAGUUUUAUUAAACAAUAUUUAAAAAAAAACAACAAUCUUGUGCUUUAUGUUUAUGUUCACCAAAGUAAAGCAAUAUAUCACUGGACAUAAAAAGAUGCAAGAACAUGAAAAAAAUCAUCCUUUCUUCCUCAUAUAGUCUGUUAAAGGUGUUUCUACUCAGAUAAAUCUAAACACAUCUGAAAGGAUUGUGGACAGCAGAACAUGAUGUUUAGUGAAGAGGAUAUCAUUCAGGGAAAGCUCAAGUCCUAUUGGAUUCUGAAUGUGCAAAAGGCUAUAGAAAAAGUUCUGGAAUUCUCUUCAGUCCUGAAAUAGGGAAGACAGAAGUAGGAAUGGAGGCAUAAAGAAGCAUUUUUUUAUGGACAAUUUCCAAGACGAAGUUCCUCCAAGCACAAUCUUCAUUCAGAGCUCAGUUUCUGGAAGCUUAGGGUAGGCUUGUGAUUACUUCUCUUGCAAUUUUUGAGCACUGAAAAGCUAGGUGUGCUGAAAAGGCUUGUGUCGUGUUAAAUGUGAUAGUGGUCUUGAAGUAUAGAAAAGAUUGCUGCAGUGAGGAAAGGGAUAAACUGCUUUCCAUAUCUGAAAUGUGUGUGAAAGAAAAUAAAUUAAAGCAAGGUAGAUUAAGCCUGACAUACCUCGGAAAAAUUUCUAUCUUUAAGGACCAUAUUGCUUUGGAAAAGUGUGGAAGCACCAUGACUGGAUGUUAGACAGUAUCUGUCAGGCAUGAACGAGGUGCACUUGAUUUUGGCUUGAGGAAAGAAAUGGAGUAGAUAAUUUCCUAAUGUUCCUGCCAGCUGUGUUUUCUAUUAUUCUCUGUGACUAGACAUUAGAAAGAAAUCAUGUGUGAUUUAUCUAUGUGCCAAUGGAUACACUAGUUUCUUUCCAUUUCAGUGAUUAAUUGUUCUAAUGUGAGGCUCCCAAAAUUUUAUACUAAAACUAGUGAGACUUUUGCACAGCCAAGAAGUUGUUAAAAUCUGACAUCCAAUUCCACUUUAAAACUGAGUUCAACCAAAUGCUUCUAAUGAAACUUUUUCAAGUUUCUUACACAAAUUAAUAAAAUUUGAUUAUUUUUUGGAUAGGUGAAUAAGUCCUUCAUUUAAAUUACAAAUUCUGUUUUAUGUUUUUUCAGAUUUGAAAAAAAAAGUUUAAUUAUUUAUGAAUGCUAUUGUCACUGCUGACAACAUCAUCUCCAGAGACUGAUACUAACAGAUAUGUACAAGUAUAGUAAAAUACUGUAUCUCAUUUAUGAGUGAUUAGACCAGAUUGUUGACUCAAGAUGGGACAAGGCUAUUUUUCUAAAUAAGAUUGUAUAACAUGGUCACUCGUAAUGUUUUAGAUUUUUAAAAAUAUUUUGAAUUUUUUUUUCUGAUACAACAAAACUUAUAUUUUCAUUUAUUCAUUUGUAGAACUUGCACAACAUCAUAGUUUCUAUGAAAGUAUCAUACAUUUACCUGGAUAAUUAAUUUGCAAGAGGGAGGAUCUGGUCCAACAAGCAAAUUAAACAAAGAGGUAAACCUAAGUAAUUCGGGAAGGGAUGGAAGGAGGGAAAUGAGUGAUAAUUCAAAUUUGCAAGGCAAAUUCAUGGCAAAUGACAACUGAAGGUUACGGUAACCUUGAAUAAAAUUACUCAUACAAACAUAUAUUACGAGGAUAUUUCUCUUUCAUUGUUUCCCUGUCAAAUACUGGGAAUGUUUCACUUUUCUGAAAAGAGUUUCUGUAUUGUUAACAAUACAAGUUCACCCUAUACAUAGGUUCUGGUAGUUUCCCUUUGUAGUGCUGGGGGUACCAACACAAAUUUGUUUUUUGUUCAAAUUCUGAUCUUCACUUUUUUUAUCUUCUAGACUUCAACAUCCAGUACAGAAUAAGUCUUUUAUUACUGUUAAUUUAUUUCUAAGUCAUAACAUUAAGAACUACAUUGAUAUUAAGUGUAAUUGCAUCACUUCCUUGAAGAAAGACACUUUCUGUGUCUCUAAAGAACCUUGCAUUUUCCAACAAGGAAAACUGGAUGUUGCAAUUGAUCAGAGAGAUGUGAAGACUAUACCAUUUCUGUUGCUCAUUCUUAUAUCAGGAGUAGUGUAUUAAUGGCUCUGAGAUGAAGAGUCAUAGGCUGUAGGAACUACUAACAUAAAUUUUACUUUACAAGCUGGAUCUUUGUGUGGCAAGGUUUUGGUAGUGGGGGGAUACAGGAGUGGCCCCUCUGAGAAGCUGACAGAAGCUUUGCUCAUGUCUGACAGAGCCAUUCCAGGAUGGGCUCACUGCUCACCAAGGCUGGGCCCUUCAGCCAUGGUAGUACCAUGAUAGCAGCCAUGAUAGGAUAUUGAGGAAGGAAACGAGUUAUUGCGCAGAUGUAAUUGCAGCCAGAGGAGAGAGGAGUGAGAAUAUGAGAGGGCAAUAGCUCUGCAGACACCAAGGUCAGUGCAAAAGGAAGGGAGGAGGUGUUGCAGGCACAAGAGCAGAAAUUCCUUUGCAGCCCCUGGUUAACAGCACAGUGAGGCAGCUGUGCCCCGCCGCCUGUGGAGGUCCAUUGGGAAGCACCUGUAUCCCUGAAGAGCCCCAUGCUGGAGCAGGUGGAUGCACAAAAGAGGCUGUGCCCCUUUGGGAAGCCCACUCUGUAGCAGGAUUCUGGCAGGACCCACUGAGCCAUGAAGAGAAGGUUCCACACUGGAGCAGGUUUGCUGUGGGACUUGUGAUCCAACAGGGGACCAGCACUGGAGCAGCCUGUGCCUGAAGGACUGCAGCCUGUGGAAAGGACCCCCACUGGAGAAGCUGGUGGACACUGUGUCCCAUGUGAGUUUCCCCCACGUUGGAGCAGGGGAAGAGUGUGAGGUGUCUUUCCCCUGAGGGGGAAGGAAAUAUGUGAUGAACAUUGCUUUCAUUCUGCACGUUCCUGCACCGCUUGGAGAGUGGUACAAAAUUCUGGACUGACGUUUAGCUUAGGAAGGUAGGAGUGGAGGAAAGAUGUUUUAAGACUUGGUUUUAUUUCUUGUUAUGCUACUCUGAUUUUAUUGGCAAUAAAUUCAAUUAA